CGUUAUCCUUUGGGGUCGUUGGUUUCAUUUGGGGAUCUUAAUUAUGGGGAUUUGGGGUCGGUGUUGAUUUGGGGUCAGUGUCGACACUGGGAAAGACUGGGUUCAUUAUCCUAAUUAAAGAGGCUGGGUUCAUUAGUGUAAUGAGGGUAAUUACGGCUUAAUUGGGGGGGAUCUGUGUGGUUACAGAUGGCUUGGAGGGAUUCGACGUCGUUGGUUUGUUGGGAGGCUUUGGGUUCAUCAUUGGGGUACCUGGGGUGAGAUGCAAAUUAUGGGGCAGACUGGGGUCAUUAGUGUAAUUAGAGGGCUUAAUUAGGCCAUCAUCUUAAUUAGGGUCAUCUGAGUGAUGGUCUUAAUGAGAGGGAUUGGGGUUCAAACAUUGGGAUCAAUUGGAAACAGAAUUGGGGGAGUUUUGGGGUCAUGGUUGAGAUACUUGUGGGGGAUGCAAAUAAUGGGGUAGAUUGGGGUCAUUAGUGUAAUUAGAGGGCUUAAUUAAGCUGUCAUCUUAAUUAGGGUCAUCUGAGCAAUCAUCUUAAUGAGAGGGAUUGGGGUUCAUGGGUGGAAAUGGGGGAGUUUGGGGUCGUCAUCGUCUUAAUUGGGAGAGUUUUGGGGUCAUGGUUGGGAUACUUGGGGUGGAGGUCAAUAAUGGGGUAGAUUGGGGUCAUUAGUGUAAUUAGAGGGCUUAAUUAGGCCUUGAUAUUAAUUAGGGUCAUCUGAGUGAUGGUCUUAAUGAGAUGGAUCGGGGUGAUGCCCCUAAUUAGAGGAGCUGGGGCUCAGGAACGUAAGGAGGGGGAUUUGGGGUCGUUAAGGUAAUUAGAGGGGUAAGGCUUCGGGUAAAGGCGGCGCCGUCAAUGUGUCCCUGGUUUUGGCCGAUUCGGCCUCGGCUUGUUAUUAAUUAAGGUGUUAAUUGUGUUAAUUGGGGCUGGGGGGGGAAAUAAUUAGGGUAAUGAGGGUAAUUAGGGCUUAAUUGGGGGGUCUGGGAGGUGAUUUGAUGGGGAUUAAAGCGGCGUUAUCCUUUGGGGUCGUUGGUUUCAUUUGGGGACCUUCUUAAUUAUGGGAUCUUCUUAAUUAUGGGGAUUUGGGGUUGGUGUCGACGAUGGGAGAGAGUGGGUUCUUUAUCCUAAUUAAAGAGGCUCGGUUCAUUAGGGUAAUGAGGGUAAUUAGGGCUUAAUUGGGGGGGAUCUGACAGGGGAUUCGAUUAAAGCGGCGUUAUCCUUUGGGGUCGUUGGUUUCAUUUGGGGACCUUCUUAAUUAUGGGAUCUUCUUCUUAAUUAGGGGGAUUUGGGGUCGGUGUCGACGCUGGCAGAGAGUGGGUUCAUUAUCCUAAUUAAAGAGGCUCAGUUAAUUAGGGUAAUGAGGGUAAUUAGGGCUUAACUGGGGGGUCUGGGAGGUCAUUUGAUGGGGAUUCGAUUAAAGCGGCGUUAUCCUUUGGGGUCGUUGGUUUCAUUUGGGGAUCUUAAUUAUGGGGAUUUGGGGUCGGUGUUGAUUUGGGGUCAGUGUCGACACUGGGAAAGACUGGGUUCAUUAUCCUAAUUAAAGAGGCUGGGUUCAUUAGUGUAAUGAGGGUAAUUACGGCUUAAUUGGGGGGGAUCUGUGUGGUUACAGAUGGCUUGGAGGGAUUCGACGUCGUUGGUUUGUUGGGAGGCUUUGGGUUCAUCAUUGGGGUACCUGGGGUGAGAUGCAAAUUAUGGGGCAGACUGGGGUCAUUAGUGUAAUUAGAGGGCUUAAUUAGGCCAUCAUCUUAAUUAGGGUCAUCUGAGUGAUGGUCUUAAUGAGAGGGAUUGGGGUUCAAACAUUGGGAUCAAUUGGAAACAGAAUUGGGGGAGUUUUGGGGUCAUGGUUGAGAUACUUGUGGGGGAUGCAAAUAAUGGGGUAGAUUGGGGUCAUUAGUGUAAUUAGAGGGCUUAAUUAAGCUGUCAUCUUAAUUAGGGUCAUCUGAGCAAUCAUCUUAAUGAGAGGGAUUGGGGUUCAUGGGUGGAAAUGGGGGAGUUUGGGGUCGUCAUCGUCUUAAUUGGGAGAGUUUUGGGGUCAUGGUUGGGAUACUUGGGGUGGAGGUCAAUAAUGGGGUAGAUUGGGGUCAUUAGUGUAAUUAGAGGGCUUAAUUAGGCCUUGAUCUUAAUUAGGGUCAUCUGAGUCACCGCCUUAA